rnacentral:rRNA from 1 species
ACUAACCUACGGGGGGCAGCAGUGGGGAAUAUUGCGCAAUGGACGAAAGUCUGACGCAGCGACGCCGCGUGAGGGAUGAAGGUUUUCGGAUCGUAAACCUCUGUCAGGAGGGAAGAAAGCGCAUGGCGCCAAUCAGCCAUGCGUUGACGGUACCUCCAAAGGAAGCGCCGGCUAACUACGUGCCAGCAGCCGCGGUAAUACGUAGGUGGCAAGCGUUGUCCGGAUUUACUGGGUGUAAAGGGCGUGCAGCCGGGCUGACAAGUCAGAUGUGAAAUCCCGCGGCUCAACCGCGGAACUGCAUUUGA